UACGGGGGGGGUAAGCGUUGUUCGGAAUUACUGGGCGUAAAGGGCGCGUAGGCGGUCUGUUAAGUCGGAUGUGAAAACUCUGGGCUCAACCCAGAGCCUGCAUCCGAAACUGGCAGGCUAGAGUUCUGGAGGGGGUAGCGGAAUUCCUGGUGUAGCGGUGAAAUGCGUAGAUAUCAGGAGGAACACCGGUGGCGAAGGCGGCUACCUGGACAGAAACUGACGCUGAGGCGCGAAAGCUGGGGGAGCGAACAGG
rnacentral:rRNA from 1 species